rnacentral:SRP_RNA from 1 species
GCCAGGCAUGAUGGCUCAUGCCUGUAAUCUCAACACUUGGGAGGCUGAGGUGGGAGGAUCACUUGAGUCCAGGAGUUUGAGACCAGCCUGGGCAACAUAGUGAGACCCUAUCUCUA